UACGAAGGGGGCUAGCGUUGUUCGGAAUCACUGGGCGUAAAGGGCGCGUAGGCGGCGCGACAAGUCAGGCGUGAAAGCCCCGGGCUCAACCCGGGAAUUGCGCUUGAUACUGUCGUGCUUGAGGCCGGGAGAGGAUGGCGGAAUUCCCAGUGUAGAGGUGAAAUUCGUAGAUAUUGGGAAGAACACCGGUGGCGAAGGCGGCGCUCUGGACCGAGACUGACGCUGAGGCGCGAAAGCGUGGGGAGCAAACAGG
rnacentral:rRNA from 1 species